UGUUGUGAGUUCUUUAUUAUAUUUUGUCAAAUAAAUAACCACUAUGCAAGCAAAUUAUAGUUUAGUGUCUGAAAUGAUGUUUCAUAUAUUUUAGCCGGCCUAAAGGAGCUAACAAAGAUAUCAUCAGUCCACAAAGGAAUCAACCAGUGAAGGAGAAAAACAUUCAAAGCUGUAAAUUGCCAAAUCCAUCACCGGCCUUAAGGAGCUAACAAAGAAAUCAUCAGUCCACAAAAGAAUCAACCAGUGAAGGAGAAAAACAUUCAAAGCUGUAAAUUGCCAAAUCCAUCAGUUGGAAGAUGGAUGUCAAAGUCUCAGACAAAAGCUUCCAGAGUUAAGAAAAGAUCACUUCAACAAAAACAAGCACGAGAAGAAUGACUGCAAAAAAUAUUUUCGCAGAUGCGUUUCCUCAUCAAGUGUAUAAGGAAAACGGACCUGUCUACAGAGACUAGAUGUAAAUGUCAAGGACUGAAAUGAGCAAUUCAAUGGCUCAUUUCUAAUUGUGUUAAGUGUCAUAAAAAAUUAAAACUGUUAUAAAUGGACAUGUAGUAAUGAUGAAAUUAUCAUCCUGUUGCGAAUAACAUUUACUUAUUCAUGAACUUAGUUCAUGAAUGACAUUUUGAAAAAAUCAUGUUCAUUAACUGUCAAGUUCAUUAACUAAGUGGGAGUUCAUGAACAUGAUUUGUCCAAAUUGUCAUUCUUGAAUAGUUCAUGUUAUUCUCAAAAAGCACACGCUUGACGUCAC